AACGAACGCUGGCGGCAUGCCUAACACACGCAAGUCGAACGAGACCUUCGGGUCUAGUGGCGCACGGGUGCGUAACGCGUGGGAACCUGCCCUUAGGUUCGGAAUAACUCCCCGAAAGGGGUGCUAAUACCGGAUAAUGUCUUCGGACCAAAGAUUUAUCGCCUUUGGAUGGGCCCGCGUUGGAUUAGCUAGUUGGUAGGGUAAAAGCCUACCAAGGCGACGAUCCAUAGCUGGUCUGAGAGGAUGAUCAGCCACACUGGGACUGAGACACGGCCCAGACUCCUACGGGAGGCAGCAGUGGGGAAUAUUGGACAAUGGGCGAAAGCCUGAUCCAGCAAUGCCGCGUGAGUGAUGAAGGCCUUAGGGUUGUAAAGCUCUUUUACCCGGGAUGAUAAUGACAGUACCGGGAGAUUAAGCUCCGGCUAACUCCGUG
rnacentral:rRNA from 1 species